AACGGCAGCACGGGUGCUUGCACCUGGUGGCGAGUUGCGAACUGGUGAGUAAUACAUCGGAACAUGUCCUGUAGUGGGGGAUAGCCCGGCGAAAGCCGGAUUAAUACCGCAUACGAUCUACGGAUGAAAGCGGGGGACCUUCGGGCCUCGUGCUAUAGGGUUGGCCGAUGGCUGAUUAGCUAGUUGGUGGGGUAAAGGCCUACCAAGGCGACGAUCAGUAGCUGGUCUGAGAGGACGACCAGCCACACUGGGACUGAGACACGGCCCAGACUCC
rnacentral:rRNA from 1 species